UACAGAGGGUGCAAGCGUUGUUCGGAAUUACUGGGCGUAAAGCGCGUGUAGGCUGCGGUGUAAGUCGGACGUGAAAGCCCUUGGCUUAACCAAGGAAGUGCAUCCGAUACUGCGUCGCUUGAGUGCCGGAGGGGGUGGCGGAAUUCCCGGUGUAGAGGUGAAAUUCGUAGAGAUCGGAAAGAACACCAACGGCGAAAGCACUCUGCUGGCCGACACUGACACUGAGAGACGAAAGCUAGGGGAGCGAAUGGG
rnacentral:rRNA from 1 species